AGAGAAGGCAGAGGGCGAGGCUGCCCCGGGAACAAGAGGAGAGGGGGCAGCAGAGGAGGUCCCAUCUAGGCAGGACACAAUGAGAGCUGCUGUUUCCUUGAGAGAAUUCUGACAGCAAGGCAUAGAAAUGCAAGCCAACACUGCUAGCUCUGGAGGAAAAAAAAAAAAUCCAUGCUCUAAACACCUCCACGGGGCUGAAGGCUGCCAGGGAAAAAGGCACACAGAGGAGGGACCCGCCGGCGACUUUUCCCCAGGCUUGGACCAGUGGUGCUCAGGACAUACCAAGAAUCCUCACCCUAGAGGCUGCAGUCAACUCCUACAGAAGCUGCCCCCUGCUCUGGCUGGUCAAACGGAACCAAGUCCGUCUUCCUGAGAGGUUUGGUCCCCUUCAACCAGCUACAGCAGGGCUGGCAAGGCCCAGUCCUUGGAGAAACAGAAGAGAUUCAUCUGUGGCUGAAGUUACCUACUAACGUUUCCCUUAAGAAAGCGACUCUGAUUUUGUUAUCACACUGUCAUGCUUCCAGGAAGGGAGAAAAGGGGAGCCCUGGGUUCAAAAGUGAGCCAGAUUUCCAUGCUUAACACACAGAGCUCUGUGCCUGUGUACCCACAACUAGACCCACUCUUAUGCUCUUGACACACAGUAAAGAUUUUAGGAUGGACUGUGGUUCAGCCCUGGGCCAGCCAAGGGACGAGCAUGAGCCCCAGAAGACAGGGCCCCUGCUCAAAGGGCUAAGAGUCUAAGGAAAGAAAUUGGACUUAUGAAUAUGGCACAAUUCAAUGGAAUUGCAAGUCAUGGCAAGGCUGGUUCCAAGACAUAAUUGUGUUACACAGCCCACCAAAUGUGUCUGGCACACUGUGUACUAUCAGGUCAGCCCAAAGAUAGCUAUUCACUAAGAAAUUCACACGUAGCUCAGUUUCGCAUCGGCAGAAUGGGGAUAAUGAUAAUCAUAGUACCCACCACAUAUGGUUUUAUGUGGAAUGGAAUGAGAAUACAUGUAAAGGAGUUAGAAAGAUCUCAGUAAUUUUUACCUGCUAUUAAAGAAGGGAUCCUGACCUGCC